rnacentral:rRNA from 1 species
UGUCGUCAGCUCGUGUUGUGAAAUGUUGGGUUAAGUCCCGCAACGAGCGCAACCCUUAUCCUUUGUUGCCAGCGGUCCGGCCGGGAACUCAAAGGAGACUGCCAGUGAUAAACUGGAGGAAGGUGGGGAUGACGUCAAGUCAUCAUGGCCCUUACGACCAGGGCUACACACGUGCUACAAUGGCGCAUACAAAGAGAAGCGACCUCGCGAGAGCAAGCGGACCUCAUAAAGUGCGUCGUAGUCCGGAUUGGAGUCUGCAACUCGACUCCAUGAAGUCGGAAUCGCUAGUAAUCGUGGAUCAGAAUGCCACGGUGAAUACGUUCCCGGGCCUUGUACACACCGCCCGUCACACCAUGGGAGUGAGUUGCAAAAGAAGUAGGUAGCUUAACCUUCGGGAGGGCGCUUACCACUUUGUGAUUCAUGACUGGGGUGAAGUCGUAACAAGGUAACCGUAGGG